AGAGUUUGAUCAUGGCUCAGAUUGAACGCUUGCGGCGUGCCUAAGACAUGCAAGUCGAACGGGGGCUUCGGCCCCAGUGGCGAACGGUCGCGUAACACGUAAGCAACCUGCCCUGAAAUGGGGGACAACAUCCCGAAAGGGGUGCUUAUACCCCAUGUGGUCACGAGUCAGGAUCCACUUGCGUCUAAAAAUUUGUCGCUUCACGAUGGGCUUGCCUCCUAUCCUGUAAUUGGUGGGGUAAUGGCCUACCUCACCGACGACAGGAAGCUGGUCUGAUAGGACAAUCUGACCGAUUGGGACUGAAAUGCGGCCCAGACUCCAACCCUGGGCAUGGAUUAAGAAUCUUGCGCAUUGGGGGCAACCCUGACUGACGGCGUCACGUGAAGGAUGAAAGCCCUCUCUUCGUAUUCUUCUUUUGAGUGGGAAGAAAUUUGAGGGCACCACUCUAAUAUGCCCCGGCUAACUACGUGCCAGAAGCCGCGGUAAUACCUAUGGGGCGAGCGUUGUCCAAAGUUACUGGGCGUAAAGCACUCGUAUUCGGUUAUUUAAGUCUGGGGUGAAAGGUUCUACUGUCACCGGGAACAAUGCCUUGGAUUCUGGAUGACUUGUGUCUGGGAGGGGGAAGGGGAAUUCCUGGUGUAGCGGUGAAAUGCGUAGAUAUCGAGAGGAACACCGCGUGGCGAUCGCGCCUUCCUGGCCUAGGACUGACGCUGAACUGCGAAAGCUUGGACACCAAAGCUCAUUAGAUACCCCGGUAGACCACGCCAUAUACGAUGAGUGCUAAGUGU
rnacentral:rRNA from 1 species